rnacentral:rRNA from 1 species
AGGACAAACGCUGGCGGGGUGCAUGAGACAUGCAAGUCGAACGAGGUGCCAUCGGGCUUGCUCGAUGGUUACCUAGUGGCGGACGGCUGAGUAACGCGUAGGUGACCUACCCGGAAGUGGGGAAUAACUGCCCGAAAGGGUGGCUAAUACCGCAUGUGGUCGGCGAUUCAUUUCGCCGUCUAAAGGAGAAAUCCGCUUCCGGCGGGGCCUGCGUCCGAUUAGCUAGUUGGUGGGGUAACGGCUCACCAAGGCGACGAUCGGUAGCUGGUCUGAGAGGAUGAUCAGCCAGACUGGGACUGAGAACGGCCCAGACUCCUACGGGAGGCAGCAGUCGGGAAUUUUGCCCAAUGGACGAAAGUCUGAGGCAGCAACUCCGCGUGAGGGAUGAAGGCUCUCGGGUCGUAAACCUCUUUUCUCAGGAAGAUCCAAGACGGUACCUGAGGAAUAAGCGACGGCUAACUACGUGCCAGCAGCCGC